UAACAGUGUGUGCCUCAUCUUUUCCAUUUCAUUCUUCUCCUUCUUCUUCACGUGUAUUCAGCGCCGCCCUCACCUUUUCUUCUUUAUUUUCUUCGUCUGGCCAACCUCUCUUCUUUGUCCAGUCGUCGUUGGUCAUCUUUGUCUUUAACUAAAUGCCAGCCGCCAUCAAUCCCAAUCGCGUCUCCCCGUCGUUGAAGCCAAUCGCUCGUCAUCGCUCCAUCUCUGUCUUUCAUCUGUCGCGUCUCCCCGUUGUCGAAACCCAACCGCCCGCUGUUGCGUUCUUCCUUCGUGUGCCGUCCGACAAAGCCCAAAGCCUGUAGCCUCCUCGUCCAUUUACUAAAUCUAAAUCGAAUGGUCAGUUGCAACUCCAAGUUCUACGUCGAUCCAUUCCCUAUUCGAGCGUUACCCUCAAAGUUGAGUCGUACGCACGAGUUUUCCUUUUCAACCGUUUUGAGUUUCCUUGUGUUUGCAGUCGCUUCUACCUUGCUAUGGGUUUUGUGGUAUUAGAAUUGAGUUCUUGAAUUUCCAACAAGCUUGUGUUGGAGUUCAAUUCUCCAUUUACUUGGGUUUAUGAUAGGUUGCUUCAUUGGACUUCUUUUUUAUCAAGGAUCUUAGCUAAGCGUAAGGUAAGAGAUUUCUACUACUGGACUCAUAUUGAAAUUGGAAUGUGUUGACUGAGAAGGAAGUUGGUACAUAUAUUGACUGAGUUAGUUCAAUUGUUAUGGGUAGUUGGAACGUAGAGAUGGGUAGAGAUGUAACGUAAAGAUGGGUAGUUGGAACGUUGCUUUGGAGUUCAAUUGUUAUGGGUAGUUGGAACGUAGAGAUGGUUUACAUUGUUGACUGAGUUCAGAUGAUUUGACUGUCAUGUGUAGUUUAGAUAUUGAUGGACUGUAUUAUUGGUUGGGUUCAGAUGAUUUGAUUGUCAUGUAUGUAGUUUAGAUAAUGAUGGACUGUACUAUUGACUGUAUUUAGAUGGUUUGACUGUGAUGUUUAGCUUAGAUAUAUAUUGAUGGACGAUAAUGUUGACUGAA